UGGGGAAUUUUGGACAAUGGGCGCAAGCCUGAUCCAGCCAUGCCGCGUGCGGGAAGAAGGCCUUCGGGUUGUAAACCGCUUUUGUCAGGGAAGAAAAGGUUCUGGCUAAUACCUGGGACUCAUGACGGUACCUGAAGAAUAAGCACCGGCUAACUACGUGCCAGCAGCCGCGGUAAUACGUAGGGUGCAAGCGUUAAUCGGAAUUACUGGGCGUAAAGCGUGCGCAGGCGGUUAUGCAAGACAGAGGUGAAAUCCCCGGGCUCAACCUGGGAACUGCCUUUGUGACUGCAUGGCUAGAGUACGGUAGAGGGGGAUGGAAUUCCGCGUGUAGCAGUGAAAUGCGUAGAUAUGCGGAGGACACCGAUGGCGAAGGCAAUCCCCUGGACCUGUACUGACGCUCAUGCACGAAAGCGUGGGGAGCAAACAGGAUUAGAUACCCUGGUAGUCCACGCCCUAAACGAUGUCAACUGGUUGUUGGGAGGGUUUC
rnacentral:rRNA from 1 species